UACGUAGGGGGCAAGCGUUGUCCGGAAUCAUUGGGCGUAAAGCGCGCGUAGGCGGCCCGGUAAGUCCGUUGUGAAAGUCAAAGGCUCAACCUUUGAACGCCGAUGGAUACUGCCGGGCUAGAGUCCGGAAGAGGCGAGUGGAAUUCCUGGUGUAGCGGUGGAAUGCGCAGAUAUCAGGAGGAACACCAAUAGCGAAGGCAGCUCGCUGGGACGGUACUGACGGCUGAGGCGCGAAAGCGUGGGGAGCGAACAGG
rnacentral:rRNA from 1 species